GUCACUUUGGCGGAGUGGUUAACGCGCUGCCCUGCUAGCCUCUAGUUAGUUAGCCUAGGCAGUUCCUUCGGGAGCGUAGGUUCGAAUCCUACAGGUGACG